rnacentral:misc_RNA from 1 species
GUUCUUCAGGAGAUCGGGGACGGCGCUCUGCGGAUCCGCCGACGCAGCCAGUGUCGAAGAGGCGCUCGCGCCGGUGAACGCGAUCGAAAGCCGGAUGCUGCACAGCUCGAUCUGCUCCUGCGUGAGGCCGUCGACGUUCUCGUCUGCGGCCUCGCCCUUCGCUCGCACCGUGCACGCGGCCGCGACGCCGACCAAGGCGAUCGCGGCCGGGACGAGCACGCCCCGCGCAAACGUCCAAC